rnacentral:rRNA from 1 species
CCUACGGGCGGCAGCAGUGAGGAAUAUUGGUCAAUGGGCGAGAGCCUGAACCAGCCAAGUCGCGUGAAGGAUGACGGCCCUACGGGUUGUAAACUUCUUUUGUCAGGGAGCCAUUGGGUCCACGCGUGGGCUUAGCGAGAGUACCUGAAGAAAAAGCAUCGGCUAACUCCGUGCCAGCAGACGCGGUAAUACGGAGGAUGCGAGCGUUAUCCGGAUUUAUUGGGUUUAAAGGGUGCGUAGGCGGAAUAUGAAGUCAGCGGUAAACAUUCGGGGCUCAACCCCGUCGGGCCGUUGAAACUGAUGUACGUGAGUGGGCGAGAAGUAUGCGGAAUGCGUGGUGUAGCGGUGAAAUGCAUAGAU